rnacentral:rRNA from 1 species
UACGUAGGGACCGAGCGUUGUCCGGAUUUAUUGGGCGUAAAGCGCGCGUAGGCGGCCGUUCACGUCGGAUGUGAAAGCUCGGGGCUUAACCCUGAGAGGCCAUUCGAUACGGGACGGCUUGAGGCAGCUAGGGGAGAGUGGAAUUCCUGGUGUAGCGGUGAAAUGCGCAGAUAUCAGGAGGAACACCGGUGGCGAAGGCGGCACUCUGGGCCGGAACUGACGCUGAGGAGCGAAAGCGUGGGGAGCGAACAGGAUUAGAAACCCGAGUAGU